GUAGGGUGCGAGCGUUAAUCGGAAUUACUGGGCGUAAACGUGCGCAGGCGGUCUCNNNNAAGCAGAUGUGAAAUCCCCGGGCUUAACCUGGGAACUGCGUUUGAAACUAGGAGGCUGGAGUGUAGCAUGAGGGGGUGGAAUUCCACGUGUAGCAGUGAAAUGCGUAGAGAUGUGGAGGAACACCGAUGGCGAAGGCACCCCCUGGGCUGACACUGACGNUCAGGCACGAAAGCGUGGGGAGCAAACAGGAUUAGAUACCCUGGUAGUCCACGCCCUAAACGAUGUCAACUGGUUGUCGGGGGAGUUAUUUCUCGGUAACGACACKAACGACGUGAAGUUGACCGCC
rnacentral:rRNA from 1 species